rnacentral:lncRNA from 1 species
GCGUCUUCAGGCUCCCAACUGGCUUCAGUUCGGGGAAGCUUUCGCCACUUCACCAAGUACUUUGUCUGCUCAGCUCCGUUGGGUAGCUUUAUCUUGCGAUCCGCCAGAAUGGUUUCCACUCGCUUCUCGUAGGAGGCUGUGAUGGGAGGUAGCCGAGUUGGAACACUUCGGGAAGCAUCUUGCGGAUCCGAGUGGUAGGCUUUUAGGUUGCUGGCGUGAAGAACGUUGUGAAUUUUGAACCACGCCGGCAGCUGCAACUUGUAAGAGACGUUGCCUACCCUGCUGAUAAUUGGGAAGGGCCCUUCAUACUUGCGCACCAAUCCUUUGUGGACUCUGUUCCUAAAGAAUUGGAGUGAUGC